UAUCUUCUGUGGUGUGCGUAUUCAGACCGGCGAAACUUGAGCCUAGUCUUUGUUUGCUAGGGGACUGACCGCGGUAUUGUUGUGCAGACCCACCUCGGUGGGGAGCCUGAUAUACCGUCUGCUGUACCCACUUGAACCAGCGGUUCAAGUUAAAAGUCUGUAACGGCAUCGCGGUUGAUAC
rnacentral:other from 1 species